UUCCUUCUCUUGCUCUCCUAGAUUGCAAUCGUUCCUACCAAGCAGAAGCACCUCUUUUCAACCAACAAAUCACCAAUUUGACUAUUUUUUCAGGUGCUAUGUUCACAUGAUCAAAGAAUUGUUCCACCUCUGCGAUCCAAUCUAAGAAAUUUUCUAUGUUGAGAUCCCUAUAAAAGUAAGGAAUAUCAAAUUUCAAUUGAUUUUCCUUUUCAAGAUUUCCACCUCUUCUUCUAUAACAUUGUUGAUGCCUAUUG
rnacentral:misc_RNA from 1 species